UACGAAGGGGGCUAGCGUUGUUCGGAAUCACUGGGCGUAAAGCGCACGCAGGCGGAUAGAUAAGUCAGGGGUGAAAUCCCGGGGCUCAACCUCGGAAUUGCCUUUGAUACUGUCUAUCUCGAGUUCGGGAGAGGUUGGCGGAAUUCCUAGUGUAGAGGUGAAAUUCGUAGAUAUUAGGAAGAACACCAGUGGCGAAGGCGGCCAACUGGCCCGAUACUGACGCUCAUGUGCGAAAGCGUGGGGAGCAAACAGG
rnacentral:rRNA from 1 species